rnacentral:rRNA from 1 species
UACGGAGGGUGCAAGCGUUACUCGGAAUCACUGGGCGUAAAGAGCGCGUAGGCGGGAUAGCAAGUCAGAUGUGAAAUCCUAUGGCUUAACCAUAGAACUGCAUUUGAAACUGUUAUUCUAGAGUAUGGGAGAGGUAGGUGGAAUUCUUGGUGUAGGGGUAAAAUCCGUAGAGAUCAAGAGGAAUACUCAUUGCGAAGGCGGGUUCCUGGACAUUAACUGACGCUGAGGCACGAAGGCCAGGGGAGCGAAAGGG